GAUGAACGCUGGCGGCGUGCCUAAUACAUGCAAGUCGAGCGAACGGACGAGAAGCUUGCUUCUCUGAUGUUAGCGGCGGACGGGUGAGUAACACGUGGAUAACCUACCUAUAAGACUGGGAUAACUUCGGGAAACCGGAGCUAAUACCGGAUGAUAUUUUGAACCGCAUGGUUCAAAAGUGAAAGACGGUCUUGCUGUCACUUAUAGAUUGAUCCGCGCUGCAUUAGCUAGUUGGUAAGGUAACGGCUUACCAAGGCAACGAUGCAUAGCCGACCUGAGGGGGUGGUCGGCCACACGGGAACUGAGAAACGGUCCAGACUCCGAGGGGAGGAAGCAGUAGGGAAUCUUCCGCAAGGGGCGAAAGCCUGACGGAGCACCGCGGCGUGAGUGAUGAAGGUCUUCGGAUCGUAAAACUCUGUUAUUAGGGAAGAACAUAUGUGUAAGUAACUGUGCACAUCUUGACGGUACCUAAUCAGAAAGCCACGGCUAACUACGUG
rnacentral:rRNA from 1 species